rnacentral:snoRNA from 1 species
GGAUGUUCAAAAAGGGAGAAAAGUCUCUUUUCCCCAUGGGGGCCCAGUGUGCCAUGGCUGCAAUCAGCAGCCUCCUUAGUAGUAUAUGCAGCCUGUUGCUUGUACAGGUUGCCCUAAGGACCUUGGAGACAGCC